rnacentral:rRNA from 1 species
GACGAACGCUGGCGGCGUGCUUAACACAUGCAAGUCGAACGGAAAGGCCCUGCUUUUGUGGGGUGCUCGAGUGGCGAACGGGUGAGUAACACGUGAGUAACCUGCCCUUGACUUUGGGAUAACUUUAGGAAACUGGGGCUAAUACCGGAUAGGAGCUCCUGCUGCAUGGUGGGGGUUGGAAAGUUUCGGCGGUUGGGGAUGGUCUCGCGGCUUAUCAGCUUGUUGGUGGGGUAGUGGCUUACCAAGGCUUCGACGGGUAGCCGGCCUGGGAGGGUGACCGGCCACAUUGGGACUGAGAGAGGGCGCAGAAGCCAACGGGAGGCAGCAGUGGGGAAUAUGGCAGAAUGGGCGGAAGCCUGAUGCAGCAACGCCGCGUGCGGAAUGACGGCCUUCGGGUUGUAAACCGCUUUCGCCGGUAACGAGGCGUGAGUGACGGUAAUGGGUAAAGAAGCACCGGCUAACUACGUG